rnacentral:lncRNA from 1 species
CUGGCAUAGUCACACAUUGAGCAUUUGAACGGCUUCUCGUGGGUGUGUUUGUAGCGGCGAUGCCGAACCAACUCUCCGCUGGUCACAAAGGCCAUGUCGCAGUCUGGGCACUUGUGAGGGCGAGUACCUGUGUGAGUGUUGAGGUGGUUCCUCAGUAACGUGACUGUCCGAAAAGCCCUGCCACAGAGAUGGCACUUGUGUGGUCUUUCAUCGGUGUGGCUUUUCAUGUGGCGGUCCAAGUUGGAACGGCGUGGACAAGUGUAACUGCACAGUUCACACUGGAAUGUCUUCUUUACACCUUUCUUUUUAAUUUUUGUUGGUUUAGGUGGUUUCAUGUUGCCCACCACCUUUUCUGCAUUGACCUCAGAUAAUAAACCCUCCUGCUGCUCCUCCUCGAAGUCAUACACAGAGACAUCCACGUCUUUGCCCUCCUCGGUGUAGCGAAGCUUACUCUUUUUGUUUUUCUUUGUUUUUUUGGCUGGUGGCUGAUAGUCUGGAUCUUUUUGCCAAUUGGGAUCUUCUUGUGGCUGAAGUUCCCCUUGUUCCAGUGUCUCCACCUCACCGUUAGCACCCACCUUCACGACCUGGAAGCCUUCUGGUAAAGGCAGGGUGUGACAGAUCAUGGGUUCUCCCUCCUGCAGGCCUCCUUUGGAAACCUCAUUUUCAUAAGCUCCCUGAAGUUCUUCCACAGAUGUGGUGGCAACGGGUACAGUCACUGGAACGGGUACUUGGACCAGCUGAAGCUCACCAAGGUUUAUAGGCUGCUCUUCCAUAUUAACAACCUGAAGCGUUAUGAUCUGCGUAUCAUCCACCGUAGCCUCCGUUUCCUGAGGCACGGCACCUUCCAUUACUUCAGUCUUCAUUUGAAGCAGAGUUGGAUCCAGCUGCUCCAUCAUCACCAUCUGCACACCGCUGUUGACAUCCUGCACCACCUCCCCUCCGUCUGCCUGGUUCGGUGCUAUAUGGCAAGCCUCGUCCUCCUGCCCUCCCUCGCGGCGUCUCUGAUAGGUUUUUCGCUCUUUCCCCUUUAUAAAAGUUUCGGAUUCCUCCACAAUGGCUUCAACUGCUUCACCUUCCAUUUCACCUUCCUGCGCCCGCGCCCCGCCGGGCUCGCUCUCAGCGCCGAGGCCCCGCCGCACGCCGCCCCGCAGCCGCCCCGGGCCCCGCGAAGCCGCCGCUCCCCUCGCGCCCCGCCGCGGCCGCCGCUAGCGCCCAGCACCAGCUCGCGGUUUAAUCGCUCCACAGUCGCUUCGGACACAAAAUGGCGGCGGGCGGGGCGGAGUGCGCCUGCGCGAGCGCGGCUGCCGCGGACCGCCGGCAGGAGCGGGG